GACGUAGGGUGCAAGCGUUGUCCGGAAUUAUUGGGCGUAAAGAGCUCGUAGGCGGUCUGUCGCGUCGGCUGUGAAAACCCGGAGCUCAACUCCGGGCCUGCAGUCGAUACGGGCAAGCUUGAGUACUGCAGGGGAGACUGGAAUUCCUGGUGUAGCGGUGAAAUGCGCAGAUAUCAGGAGGAACACCGGUGGCGAAGGCGGGUCUCUGGGCAGUAACUGACGCUGAGGAGCGAAAGCGUGGGGAGCGAACAGG
rnacentral:rRNA from 1 species